GGAAUUUGUUAGCCUUACGGCUGACAUGUGGUCUUCCAUUAAUAUGGAUGGAUAUCUUGGUGUAACAUGCCAUUACAUAACACCAGAGGCAACAAUGGCAACUGUUUUACUGGGUGUAAGGAGGUUUUACCAAACCCACACAGCCCAGCAUCUCAUGGAGGCUAAAGCCUUGCUAAUGGCUGAGUGGGGAAUAACCUCCAAAGUUCACUGCAUGGUGACUGACAAUGCAUCCAACAUGAUCCUAAGUGCCCAGCUACUCAACCUUCGCCAUGUCCCAUGUUUUGCUCAUAAUUUGAAUUUGAUAGUGAAAAAGGCCCUGGAUCAAACCCCAGUCAUCAAUGAAAUUCGCCAGAAAGCCAGAAAGAUAGUGGGGUUGUUCAGAUCCAGCUGCAAAGCAAAGGACAAGCUUGUGGAGAUGCAGAGCUUGAUGGGCAGACCAAGUCUGAAAAUGAUACAGGAGGUUGAAACGAGAUGGAACAGCACAUUCGACAUGCUACAACGCUUGUAUGAGCAACGUGAGCCAGUGGCUGCUGCACUUGCCAAUUUAAACAGUGAUACUGCUCCCCUGACAAGUCUUGAGUAUGACAUUAUUCAACAGUCAUUGACACUUCUUCAACCAUUCAAACUAGCAACAACAGAGAUGUCAGAGGAACAGAGAGUGUCUGCUUCAAAGCUCAUACCAUUGUACAGGAUGUUGCAGCACAAGCUUGCACAGAAAAAGGAAAUGCAACGCAGGAAUCAACUGUACAAUUAGGCUCACAUCUACAAGAAGGUCUGCACUCCAGAUGUGGAGGGUACGAGACUUUUAGAGCCUUGGCACUGGCUACACUGCUGGACCCAAGGUUUAAAAAUGUGGCUUUUGGAAAUCCUGCCAAAGCCCUGGAUGCUGAAAAGCACAUCACACUGGAGUGUGCUUCACUGAUGCGUUCAAACACAACUCCUGAACCACAAAUGUCAACAUCAGGCCCAUCAUCAACACCAGUUGAAACACAAGACAGUUUAUGGGAACAUUUUGACAAUCGUAUCCGUGAGACCCAGAUGAUACACAAUCCUACAGCUGAUGCCACAGUGGAAGUGAAAAAAUACCUCA